UGCCAGCAGCCGCGGUAAUACGAAGGGGGCUAGCGUUGUUCGGAAUUACUGGGCGUAAAGCGCGCGUAGGUGGUCAUGUAAGUCAGAGGUGAAAUCCCGGGGCUCAACCCCGGAACUGCCUUUGAAACUAUAUGACUUGAGUCUCGGAGGGGAUGGUGGAAUUUCUAAUGUAGCGGUGAAAUGCGUAGAGAUUAGAAGGAACACCGGUGGCGAAGGCGACCAUCUGGACGAGUACUGACACUGAGGUGCGAAAGCGUGGGGAGCAAACAGGAUUAGAUA
rnacentral:rRNA from 1 species